UCCGGUUUAUCUCCGGCAGUCUGUGUAGAUAUGCAACUACACACGGGGGUUGCGCUCGUUGCGGGACUUAACCCAACAUCUCACGACACGAGCUGACGACAGCCAUGCAGCAUCUGUCUAUCCGUCCCUCGCGGGAGGCUCCCCUUUCGAGGAGUUGCGAAUAGAUGUCAAGCCCUGGUAAGGUUCUUCGCGUCGCAUCGAAUUAAACCACACGCUCCGCUGCUUGUGCGGGUCCCCGUCAAUUCCUUUGAGUUUUAGUCUUGCGACCGUACUCCCCAGGCGGACCACUUAAUGCGUUAGCUUCGGCACAGGAGGGGUCAACACCCCCCACACCUAGUGGUCAUCGUUUACUGCUAGGACUAC
rnacentral:misc_RNA from 1 species